CGUUUACAGUGAACAUUACGAUUCAAGGUCUAAAACCUCAAAAGAAAACAUCCCUUCAUCUUCUUAAGCGCGGUUGGAACAAGGUUCAAUGAUUAGGGUUUGUUCUCGGCCUCGAUUAGUUAGGGUUUCAUUUCAUCAGGGAUUUGGGUUAGAGUUGAAGUAUUGUCUGGAUCUUCGAAGAUAUGAUUCAGUAUCAAAAGAUUUACCAGCAAUAUUGAAUUUUAAUGCUGUGAAGUUGGACAACCUCUCAUUAAGAAUCUGUGUACUGUGUAGUCAACAAGUGAUGCUUGUUCCUGUAAUGAUUGAAGUUGCAACUUCAUAUUUAGCAGGAAACAAGUUUUAUUUUCAUCCAGCAAAAAUUUUACCAUUAGAGAGAUUCCUUGUGCAAGCUAUGAUUUGAUGCGUGCGAAGGAUGCUUAAACAUUUAAGAACCCCAUUGUAUUUAGGGGAAGGAUCAAAGCAGGAACGCUUUCUCUCAGCACGAUAUGUUGUUCUGACUUCUGAACUAGAAGCGAUAAUGCUUUCCCAUAAGUCAUUUUUGAUCAAUAAGAAGCUCUUUAAAAAGAUGAGACACAACAGACCCAUCGACCGCUAACUGGAUCCUUAAGAGAACUGAUCAGGUUUAUUUUAAACCUUGUCUUCCUGCCUCAUUAUUCAUAUCUGUUCUUGUGUAAAAGUUUUUUGAUUUUUUUAAAUAUGGGAAGCUCAAGUAUGUUCAGGAGUCCUAAUGGUCUAGUUCUUAUUGUUGUGCUUAUCCUUAUGAAGAGUUAUUUGUUCGCCUGGAAGAAGGAUGUUGUAUUAUCAUUGGUGUUUGAUCUUGAAGGGUGGUUGCAUCA